GUCACAUUGUAAACAGAAAAAUUGGAUCUUUGCUGCAUCAGAAACACUGGAUGUCCUUCCUGCUGGAAAACAUUAAUUUGGAUGUGGACUACACCUCCCCACAAAGGCUCAUGCUUUAAGGACUUGGUCCUUGACUGGUGAUGUUAUUGGGAGGGUGGUAGAAACUUCAGGAAGCAAGGCCAGAUUGGAGGAAGUAGGUCAAUGGAGUGUGUUCUUGAAAGAUAGGGAUGGGGACCCUAGAUGAUGAUGGUGAUGAUGAUUCCUCCUCUCCCUCCUCCUCUCUCCCCCUCCUCCUGUUCCUCUUUCUCCUGCUUUUGGUGCUUCUGCUUACUCCCCAUCUCUCAUUCCCUCCUCCUUCCUGGAUACCAUGAGGAGAGCAGCUAGGCUCUAUCAAACACUCCCCACCAUGAUAUAUUGCCUCAGUGUAGAAAGAAAGAUGCUAAGUGACCAUGGGCUGAAACUAGGGACUGUCAUAAUUCUUUCUUUUUAAGGUUGCUUGUCCUGGACAUUUUGUUACAGCAACAGAAGACUAACAGAAUCCUCCCCAUCUCCUUAUUUGUUUUGUUUUAUAUGUAACAAUACAAAGAAGAAUUUAUUGGCAGGGUAUAACCUUUAUGAAUAGCAUCCUAGAAAGUGUGUUUGUGUGUGAAAUGCCGCAUUUUAUCAACUCUACUAAGAGAAAGCGUGAGUUCUUUCUCUAUUCUACAUGAUUGAAAGGUAUUUGGAAAUUAUUAUCAUAUACAGAUAGUUGAAAAACAAAGGACAAAAUAUUGAACAGAGAUUGUAAAUCAGAAAGUAUUUUUCUAGAUUUUUGAUGCUUGUGGUAUGUUAGUUGUUUUAAUGCAUAAUUUGUUGUGUCUCUUUUUCAGAGAAUCAUUCACUUUGUGUUCUAUUCAUUGCAGGUCAUAAAGAAUUAACCCCUGGUUUACACCACAGUGUUUGUCAACCCCUUAAAGGGGCCACACACAUUGUGACAGGGUGGUAUUCCAGAUCUGUGUUCAGGGAAAGAAAGAUGUGUGGUUUGUCGCAAGAGGUUUCACCCAGGGCAAAGGCGCAAACAAUAGAGGUCACAUGGUAGAGAAAGUCAUGGGCCAACACGGAGAGGACAGCUUGCAGAGCAGACUUCCUCCUCAAUGGUGGAUAAUGACUAAGUCCCCCCAUUACCACUCUAUCCCAAAGAACAAAACAAACAUAGAAACGAAACUUCUUGAGUUGCUUUAAAUGUGCAUGUAUAGGAGCUACUUUGGCCUGGUAAAGUUUCCACUAGUGGGAAUUCAUUGGGUCUUUGCUUGUUUUAACCUUUCAAAACAACCAUUUAUUGUAUAGGUAAGAUGGGCAUGUGUUCCUAAUAUUUAAGUUUUUUUUUUCAGAAAUCCACAAAGGAUAAUCUCUAUUUCUCUGCUGCAUCCUUUCCAGAUUUUGUUUCAGUGACACAGAGAGAGAACACACACUGAAGUAAGGUUUGGGGAACUGAAUCUGGAGAGACUGGGGAGACGAGAGAAGUCUACCAUGGGAGAUAGAUUAUCCGUCCACAUAGGCAUUCCCUCAUUAGGGGCUCCCUUCCCACCUGGAGCCCUGGCUAAAAGUCAUCAUGAUUCUCUGUGCUGGAACCUUGCCUUCUUUUUAUUGUCCUGGAAGUCCCGGCAGGCAUUCCUCAAGAGUGCUGAUUAGGACCCGGGAUGCAGCUGCUUCACUGGGUGUCUGUUCUUUUCACCUGACACAGUCCAAGGCCUGCACCUCCCGGGAACUAAAGGGUGCACUGCCCAGAGCAGUUACUCUACCCAGCUUACUCUCUUUCCUCCCUGUCUGUGUUAAACUCCUGACUUAGCUGUCUCCCAUUUGUAGUCCCUACCUACCCCCAGCCUUCCUGGAUCCAUUCUAACUCAUCCCUAAGGCAUUGGCUUAUUAUUUACCCAUCUUGCCAUCUCUGCUGGCAAGCAAUAUCCCAAACAGUGUGCUCAGUACACUGACACAGGGCUAGAAGAGGAGCCAGGCACAGAUCAUUUGUUUGUGUUCCACAGAGAGCACAGCCUCCGCUCCCUCCCAAAGGCGCCCUCAGAACUUACAGUCUGUCUAGUGCAACUGCUGAAUUGUGAAAUGACAGACCACAUGAGUGCCUGCAUGAACAGGACGCUAAAGAAGCCAGAAGUAACAGCAGCUAGACACCAUGAAGAAUUAGCUUUCGGCAGAGUAUGGGGCAUUCCCCAACUAUCCACUGAAAUGAAGGCCACAGAAGAAGCCCUGCUGUGUUCUCUUGUAUUUCUGCUUAUGCCAGAUGGAUCAACCAAGACAGGAGCUGGUUUUUCUCUCUCAAGAUCUUCCUGAAGGCCAGAGGGUCUUUCGCUGAACCUGAAGAUCACCAGCUAGGCCCGCUGGUCACCGAGCUUCAGGAUUACUGGGAUGCCAUGCGAGAGCUUCUGUCUCCACGGCUGUGCUGCCAUGACGACUACACCCUUGGCCAGUGAACCAAAAUAAAUCCUUUCUUCUUCAA